rnacentral:rRNA from 1 species
UACGUAGGGGGCAAGCGUUGUCCGGAUUUAUUGGGCGUAAAGAGCGUGUAGGCGGCCAUACAGGUCAGCUGUGAAAACUCGAGGCUCAACCUCGAGACGUCGGUUGAAACCGUAUGGCUAGAGUCCGGAAGAGGAGAGUGGAAUUCCCGGUGUAGCGGUGAAAUGCGCAGAUAUCGGGAAGAACACCCGUGGCGAAGGCGGCUCACUGGCCCGAUACUGACGCUGAGGUGCGAAAGCGUGGGGAGCAAACAGG